rnacentral:rRNA from 1 species
UACAGGGGGUGCAAACGUUGCUCGGAAUCAUUGGGCGUAAAGCGCACGUAGGCGGUUCGUUAUGUCGGAUGUGAAAGCCCUUGGCUUAACCGAGGAAGUGCAUCCGAAACUGGCGAGCUAGAGUACGAAAGAGGAUCGCGGAAUUCCCGGUGUAGAGGUGAAAUUCGUAGAUAUUGGGAAGAACACCGGUGGCGAAGGCGGCUCACUGGCUCGUAACUGACGCUCAUGGCACGACAGCCGUGGGGAUCAAACAGG